GACACUGGUCUUAGGGUCCCAAGUGC
rnacentral:piRNA from 1 species